rnacentral:rRNA from 1 species
UACGUAGGUGGCGAGCGUUGUCCGGAUUUACUGGGCGUAAAGAGCGCGCAGGCGGCUGGUCAAGUCCGAUGUGAAAGCUCCCGGCUUAACUGGGAAAUUGCAUCGGAAACUGAUCGGCUGGAAGGUGGGAGAGGGUAGCGGAAUUCCCGGUGUAGUGGUGAAAUGCGUAGAUAUCGGGAGGAACACCAGUGGCGAAAGCGGCUACCUGGCCCAUUCUUGACGCUGAGGCGCGAAAGCUAGGGGGAGCAAACGGG